AUGAGUAGGGCGGGACACGUGGUAUCCUGUCUGAAUAUGGGGGGACCAUCCUCCAAGGCUAAAUACUCCUGACUGACCGAUAGUGAACCAGUACCGUGAGGGAAAGGCGAAAAGAACCCCGGCGAGGGGAGUGAAAAAGAACCUGAAACCGUGUACGUACAAGCAGUGGGAGCACAGGUUUACCUGUGUGACUGCGUACCUUUUGUAUAAUGGGUCAGCGACUUAUAUUCUGUAGCAAGGUUAACCGUAUAGGGGAGCCGAAGGGAAACCGAGUCUUAACCGGGCGUUAAGUUGCAGGGUAUAGACCCGAAACCCGGUGAUCUAGCCAUGGGCAGGUUGAAGGUUGGGUAACACUAACUGGAGGACCGAACCGACUAAUGUUGAAAAAUUAGCGGAUGACCUGUGGCUGGGGGUGAAAGGCCAAUCAAACCGGGAGAUAGCUGGUUCUCCCCGAAAGCUAUUUAGGUAGCGCCUCGUGAAUUCAUCUCCGGGGGUAGAGCACUGUUUCGGCUAGGGGGCCAUCCCGGCUUACCAACCCGAUGCAAACUGCGAAUACCGGAGAAUGUUAUCACGGGAGACACACGGCGGGUGCUAACGUCCGUCGUGAAGAGGGAAACAACCCAGACCGCCAGCUAAGGUCCCAAAGUCAUGGUUAAGUGGGAAACGAUGUGGGAAGGCCCAGACAGCCAGGAUGUUGGCUUAGAAGCAGCCAUCAUUUAAAGAAAGCGUAAUAGCUCACUGGUCGAGUCGGCCUGCGCGGAAGAUGUAACGGGGCUAAACCAUG
rnacentral:rRNA from 1 species